rnacentral:rRNA from 1 species
GUGGGUAGCGGUGAAAUUCCAAUCGAGCCCGGAGAUAGCUGGUUCUCCCCGAAAUAGCUUUAGGGCUAGCCUCAAGGUGAGAGAUACGGAGGUAGAGCACUGAAUGUCCUAGGGGGUAUUGCACCUACCGAAGACUAUCAAACUCCGAAUGCCGUCAUCUUAUACUUGGGAGUCAGACUGUGGGUGAUAAGAUUCAUAGUCGAAAGGGCAACAGCCCAGAUCGUCAGCUAAGGUCCCUAAAUGUAAGUUAAGUGGUAAAGGAUGUGGGAUUGCACAGACAACCAGGAUGUUGGCUUAGAAGCAGCCACUCAUUCAAAGAGUGCGUAAUAGCUCACUGGUCGAGUGAUCCUGCGCCGAAGAUUUCCGGGGCUAAAACUUACUACCGAAGCUACGGCAUCAGUAAUGAUGGGUAGGGGAGCUUCCCAUACGGGUUGAAGCAUGACCGUAAGGACAUGUGACCAGGAUGGGAGUGAGAAUGUUGGCAUGAGUAGCGAGAUGUGGGUGCGAAUCCCACAGGCCGUAAACCCAAGGUUUCCAGGGGAAGGUUCGUCCGCCCUGGGUUAGUCGGGACCUAAGCUGAGGCCGAAAGGCGUAGGUGAUGGACAACAGGUUGAUAUUCCUGUACUACCGAUAACCGUUUGAGAGAAGGGAUGACACAGUAGGAUAAGCUAAGCACACUGUUGGUUAUGUGUGCCCAAGCAUUGAGGCAGUCAAAGUAGGCAAA